UCUCUUGGGUGAUAUUACAUUGAUGUGCUCCCUCCCUCCCCCUCUCUCCCUCUGCAUGCUCUCAUCUCGUCCUGCAGGAAUAGACUCUUCCUCCGCCGCUGCAGCCUCACUCUGACACAACCGGCAUGUCUGCAAACUGAGAGCCGCACAGGAAGACACACAGAGGCACAAUCCCCUCUUUAAGACGCACAACUUGUGUUUUCCUUCUCCCAGCUGAAGCACAAAAAGACGAGUGGUAAUAACACUGCGAAGAGGCAUUUUUUUUUGGAGGGAUCAAGACUUCGAGGAGGAUCAAAACAAGGUCUGUCCCUGAUAACCUGACCACUGAAGGAA